GGAAUUUUCCGCAAUGGGCGAAAGCCUGACGGAGCAAUACCGCGUGAGGGAUGAAAGCCUGUGGGUUGUAAACCUCUUUUUUCAGGGAGGAAUAAAUGACGUGUACCUGAAGAAUAAGCAUCGGCUAACUCCGUGCCAGCAGCCGCGGUAAGACGGAGGAUGCAAGUGUUAUCCGGAAUCACUGGGCGUAAAGCGUCUGUAGGUGGCUUAACAAGUCAACUGUUAAAUCUUGAAGCUCAACUUCGAAAUCGCAGUCGAAACUGUUAGGCUAGAGUAUAGUAGGGGUAAAGGGAAUUUCCAGUGGAGCGGUGAAAUGCGUAGAGAUUGGAAAGAACACCGAUGGCGAAGGCACUUUACUGGGCUAUUACUGACACUCAGAGACGAAAGCUAGGGUAGCAAAUGGGAUUAGAUACCCCAGUAGUC
rnacentral:rRNA from 1 species